ensembl:lncRNA
GAACCACCCAGCUAAUAAAGCUAAGCAUUAGAACCUAGCUGGCAGCGUCUGCCUGAGAGCUCGUGCUGGUUCGGGCUAAAUUAAUCCGAAAAGAGAGUCACCUGACGCUGAGGCCCAUGUCUUCCAGGCAGCCUUGACAGGGAACCACGGUCGGCACACGCGUGGACCCUGGGCUCUGCGGCAGAAAGGACCCCAGAUUCACUCAGCCCACAGCUCCCCAAGGGGACCAGCCCUGCUCGGGGCUCUGCCCUCCGGCCUCUGCAGACAGAUGGGACCGAGACACCCCGUGUUAGCUUUCCACGUGCUGUGGUUCCCGAGGCGACCAGACAUAGAGAAGGCCUGAGCUCGUGGACUUGAGGAGUGGGGGGCGGGGGUGGCCCCAUGGCUGCCUGGGAGCGGGGUGGGGGGCGGCCCUGGCCUCAUUCCCCUUCAUCAGAGGCUGAGGCACUUUUCUGACAGUCAAACCCCUUUUCCUUCAACGUUGGGUUUCUGGGUCGUUACCAGACUCCCUCCCCCCCUCCUUCACCUCCUCCACGAUUGUCCUUUCGGGAGGUCCCAGCCGGGUGAUUCUGGAAACAGUGACGUGGACCAGCACCCGAGCCGUCACUCUGAGCUCACAGUCGCUGAAUGUGGCUGUGAGCUGGCCAGCCGGAGACCCAGAGGAUGUCCCUGAACCUGCCCCAGGGCUUUCCUGAAACAUCAGUCUUCCAGGUCCAUGGUGCCCUGCGAGAUGGCUCCAGGGCCCAGGGCAGGAAGCAGGGCCUCAGACGUCACCCUUCACCUCUAGUCCGGCAGCAGGGCCUACGAAGCCUUGCCUGGCCUGGGCUUUCCUCCACAGACAGAGGGGACCCGGGGCGGGGCCGUGUCCAGCGCCCAGAGCUCGAAAGCUGCUGCGGCCACUCCCCUCCUGUGCAGAAAGCAAAGUCUCCCAGCUCUGGUCAAAGCGACAAGAAGGCCAAGUGGUGUUUGCUACCGAACCUUCCUGAAGGGGGUUGAGAUCACCUUUAAUUUCAGAGCAAAGGAGAACUCUCUAGAGGGGGCCUGUCUAGCUGCCCCCUGCUUGUCCACCUGUUCCGCACGGGGUCUCAGGUGUGCCGCUGAGCAGGGCAGAGAGCGGGGUGCAGGGAGCUGGCCGGUGCCCCCACAGCGCCCGUCGGGGAGGGAGGUGAUGCUGUAGCUGCGGCCACCGCCCCCCGAGGUCCCGGGAGGGUGAGGAGAGGCCCGGAGCCCCUGGGCCCCCGAGCACCCUGGCCCUCCUGCCACCCUGCGAGCUCAGCUGGACCUUGGACGUUAGUUUCUGGGCCAGACACGGGGCAGGUGCCCGCUGGUGCUGGAGAUGGAUGGGGUCCAGAUCCGGGGGUCCUCUUCUCCCGCGGGACACGGAGGGAGCCCAGCUGGAGCCCCUCCCAACUCCCGUCACCACACACGCCCCCCACCCCCACCCCCGGCCAGGCCCUCCACACACACACACACACCACACACACACACACACGCCUUCCGCUCCGGGCUGUGAGGUGACGCAGCCCCCUCGGGGGGCCGAUUCCAGACUCGGAAGCAAUCCCAGACUGGAUCUGCAGCCCUGCCCCCCUGAGGGACGGGGUGCCGCUUCCCCACGCAGGACAGGACGCGGCAAGGGGGCAGGACCGGCUGCUGCCUCACCCUGACACUAGCUUGCUGUGUGGCUUCGGGGCCGGUCUCCCCUCUCUGGGCCUGUUUCCCUUCUCUCCUUCUGAUCGGACUCCACACGCCCUCAAGGUCCCUUCUGGCACAGACACUAUCUCUCCAGCUGGGCUGCGGCCUCUGCCCCGGGCCGUCCGAGGCAGCCCCCUGACCGCCCGCCCGCCCACCCACCCUCUCGGACCCCAGGCUCCGCCGGCCUCUGGCUGCAGCAGGGACAUCCAUCACUGCUCCGUGAUAGAUUAUCUGUCCCUCCUCCUGCCGCCGCUCUGCUAUUUUGGUUGCAGAAUAAUGUUUAUCCCUUCACACAACACUGGCACCCUCCCCCUCCUCCCUCUGUCCUUCCCGCGCUCCUCCCCGCUCCCUCUGUGCGUGCGCUCCCAGCAGAAAUCAGGAGAUCUGCUCCGGCUACUUUCAUGAUUUUAAUUUUCCGUUCUCCUUCUCCUCUCUUCCCCCUUAUUACAUUUUGGGCUCUUUCUGGGCUGCUGGAAGGAGCAUACAUUUUCCCGGUGAAGUUUUUUUUUUUUAAUAAAAACCAUCAUUUAUGAUUAUUUUUCUUUCCC